UUGGCAAACUACUCAAUAGAAAUUUAUAAAGGAUACUUUAAGAGCAGGAAAUCCCUUGUCAGGCAGAAAGCACUAUAGGCAGACAAUUCUCAUGUCCAAUGACUCCCACAUUAAAAAAAAAUGUUUCAUAUGAUUGAAAUCAUUUCAUUACCCAGCUCAUUCCUCUUAUCUGGAGGUAAUUUUUAACAGACUCCAGCCUCUUUUCCAGAGGUACUGCU
rnacentral:lncRNA from 1 species